ensembl:lncRNA
UGGACAGACAGACUGAGAGCAGAAACCCAGAAAUCAGACAGAAAUGAAAACAUGGCUGGACACAUACAGGGACAAGAAAUGAGACAAAGUGAGGGACAGGGCGAGAAGAGGAGACUGCUAGGUCCUUCACGCAGCGCCACUCAACACCAAUUAGCCUUCUUUUCUUCCAACACACGUGUCUUCUGAAAGAAAGUAGGUGAUGUGAGGAAGGCAACCGAGCGGAUCAUCGCAUUGUUUUCACAAACAUUUUCAUCUCCCUUUGUGGAGCUCCAUCACCCGAGGGACACAUGAAGAAGGCAGGGGCCCGUAAAAUGGCUGGGGGACCACCAGCACCUCCACUCACUCCGGCUGAGGAGCUGCCACUGUCCUUUAAUCAAGGGGGUCAGGGCAGUUCAUCAGAGUCAACUACCUCGCAUGAA